UCUGGCAUACACAGCAGGUGUAGGUUUCUGGCCCUGGGUUUGACUCGUUGCCAGCCCUGAGCAGAAGUGUACUUAGCGUAGCGUAGUCCCUAUGGACGACCAACUUCUGAGAUACUUCGCCGACCUAAACGAGGUUAGAUCGCCGAAACAACAUCCCUUGGUCGAGUAAAACCCGAGGCAUUCCGGUACGUAGAACCGGCUGUUGUGGCCAUCGG